AUUGAACGCUGGUGGCAUGCUUUACACAUGCAAGUCGAACGGUAACAGGGUGCUUGCACCGCUGACGAGUGGCGAACGGGUGAGUAAUGCGUCGGAACGUGCCGAGUAGUGGGGGAUAACGCAGCGAAAGUUGUGCUAAUACCGCAUACGUACUGAGGUAGAAAGUGGGGGACCUUCGGGCCUCACGCUAUUUGAGCGGCCGACGUCUGAUUAGCUAGUAGGUGAGGUAAAGGCUCACCUAGGCGACGAUCAGUAGCGGGUCUGAGAGGAUGAUCCGCCACACUGGGACUGAGACACGGCCCAGACUCCUACGGGAGGCAGCAGUGGGGAAUUUUGGACAAUGGGCGAAAGCCUGAUCCAGCCAUGCUGCGUGCCUGAAGAAGGCCUUCGGGUUGUAAAGGACUUUUGUCGGGGAGGAAAUCCCCAGCGUUAAUACCGCUGGGGGAUGACAGUACCUGAAGAAUAAGCACCGGCUAACUACGUGCCAGCAGCCGCCGUAACAC
rnacentral:rRNA from 1 species